rnacentral:rRNA from 1 species
CAGCAGCCACGGUAAUACGUAGGUGGCAAGCGUUGUCCGGAAUUAUUGGGCGUAAAGGGCUCGCAGGCGGUUUCUUAAGUCUGAUGUGAAAGCCCCCGGCUCAACCGGGGAGGGUCAUUGGAAACUGGGAAACUUGAGUGCAGAAGAGGAGAGUGGAAUUCCACGUGUAGCGGUGAAAUGCGUAGAGAUGUGGAGGAACACCAGUGGCGAAGGCGACUCUCUGGUCUGCAACUGACGCUGAGGAGCGAAAGCGUGGGGAGCGAACAGGAUUAGAUACCCCUGUAGUCCCUGUCUCUUAUAC